rnacentral:pre_miRNA from 1 species
AACAAAUCAACUUUUUAGCUUUUAGAUACAAUGUUUAACCUUUCGUCUUAUUAAAAAAAUUUAUGAUUAAUAGUUUAAUUUUUAUUAGAUGAUAAAACAUGAAUAGUACUUUAUGUGUGACUAAUUUUUUUAAAAUUUUUUGAAAUUUUUUUCAGAUAAGAUGAAUGGUCAAAUGCUCGACACAAAAACC